GUCAUACUUGCUUCAGUCCGACAUCAACUCUUCCCGCAUUUCUUGUCCUUGGAAAAGCUUCUCUAAAUGUGCCACUAUGUGCUCAAACACUAUGCAAGUAUACCAUAAAAGCUGGCAAACCUAUUUUGGUUCUUUAUGGACUUGAAUAUACACAUACAAUCACAGAAAUUAAAGCAUCAGUGGGCGCUCAAGUAUGCUCCGAG
rnacentral:misc_RNA from 1 species